rnacentral:rRNA from 1 species
GACGAACGCUGGCGGCGUGCUUAACACAUGCAAGUCGAACGGAAAGGCCCUGCUGUUGUGGGCUGCUCGAGUGGCGAACGGGUGAGUAACACGUGAGUAACCUGCCCUUGACUUUGGGAUAACUUCAGGAAACUGGGGCUAAUACCGGAUAGGAGCUCCUGCUGUAUGUUGGGGGUUGGUAAGUUUCGGCGGUUGGGGAUGGACUCGCGGCUUAUCAGCUUGUUGGUGGGGUAGUGGAUUACCAAGGCUUCGACGGGUAGCCGGCCUGAGAGGGUGACCGGCCACAUUGGGACUGAGGUACGGGCCAGACUCCUACGGGAGGCAGCAGUGGGGAAUAUUGCACAAUGGGCGGAAGCCUGAUGCAGCAACGCCGCGUGCGGGAUGACGGCCGUCGGGUUGUAAACCGCUUGCGCCUGUGACGAAGCGUGAGUGACGGUAAUGGGUAAAGAAGCACCGGCUAACUACGUG